GCGGGUUCGGCUGAUGGAGAAACUGAGGCAAAGGGUAGAACCCCUCUGCGCCGCAACCCUGUGAGCAAGGCGAAGUCCCAGGGUGGUGUCCUUGCCUACAAAAUCCAUCAUGGCACAUCACUGUGUCUACGUUUUGGCAUGCCCUUCCUCUUAACACACAACCUGGAAGGAGAGAGAGAGACAGCAUGAGCAGGGGAGGAGCAGAGAGAGAGGGAGACACAGAUUCCAAAGCAGGCUCCAGGCUCUGAGCUGUCAGCACAGAGCCCGACGUGGGGCUCGAACCCACGAACUGUGAGAUCAUGACCUGAGCCGAAGCCGGACGCUCAACUGACUGAGCCACCCAGGCACCCCGACCUCUUCUAAUCUUUUUGUCAAGUUGAGAAAGGUAUGCAAAAAUGAAACAAACAUCCUUAUUCCUACCACUCACAGUUAACAUUGUCAACAGAUUGUUCACAGACAAGGCUGGGUGCUUCAGUGGAUAUAAGAAUCCCUUGCAUUAAUUUCCUCACCCUCCUGGCUUAGCUGUAUAUGACAAAAAGAAUACCCAGUUUGAAUACAUUGGAAAAAAGAAACAAUCCUGGAAUUUUUUAGCUGAUGUACAUCUAAGCAUAGGUGAGUCUAAGGGCUCAAAAAAUGUCAUCAGACUCAAUUUCUCUCCACCUCUUCUCUGCUGUCUUUUGUAUAUAGGCUUCCGCCUUAGACUGAUUCUCCAAAGUCCCAGUCUUCCUGGUUCAAGUCCCCCAGAAGGAGAGAUUCUCUCUUUCCCACAGUGCUUACAAAAGUCAUGGGUUUGAGUAUCAUUGGAUUGAUUUGGACCAGGUGUGCAUCCCUGAGCUGUCCCUGUGACUAUAUGGGAUGAAAUAAACUGAUUGGUCAGGCCUGAGAUUAAUCUCAUCCAAACCAUAAUGGAUGGACAAUGUUUGAAGGGUGGUUGUAUCGUGGAAAAUCAGGGUGCCCCUUCCAGAAGAAGGAGGAAUAGAUCCUGGGUGAGCAAAAAAGUAUGCAUAUCCCUACCUGUCGACAACCUGCCACUGGAACGAGCAUUGGAUACGGAGUCCAACAGACUCACAUUCCCAUUCUGGUUCAAAUAUUUGAUAGUCACAUAAGUUAUUUAAAAUCUGAGUUUCAGUUUUUAAUCAGAGAGAGAUGCUAAUAUUCUUAUGGGUUUGUUGUGAAGGUCAAGUGGAAUAACACAGGUGAGGACACCUAACAAAAUAAUGGGCCUGGACAGCCUAACGUUUGCAAAUUUCCUUUUUGCUAUUAAUUCAAGCCUCUUUGAAGCAUCCAGGGGCAAGUUCACCUUUCUUGCAAAAAAAAAAAAAGUGAGUUAAUAAUUAUCACACUUGUUAGCACCUAUUGUUUGCUGUGCACCAUAUGCAUUGUUAGAUAGGACUGUCUCACAAGCCCACACAGACUGGGCUGCACAGCUCCCCAUCUGGCCAAUCACGGAUUCCAAUGAGGAUGGCGCCCCCUGGGGGUGGCAAUGCAGCAGUCCUAUUUACAGGUACUAAGUCAGUCCUCAUUGGUCCUGUGAAGAUGGUAUUAUUAACCCAUUUUACAAAGACCUUUGUAACUUAGGUUAAGGAACUUGCCUAAUGUCAUUUAAUGGCUAAGUGACACGAACCAAUGGAAACUGUACCCUUCGGAGAUACCUUGCUGUGGCAUUAUAAGCAUAAUCUCAGGAUCCACAAUGAGUACAGUCCUCCACUGAGGGGACGGGAGGGGAGGCAGAGGGAGAGGACAGACCAUUUCAUUUUGUAAAACCAUCUCCAACCUCCCCUCCCCACCCCCAAUAAAAAACGCCUACCAGAACCCCGGAGCUGAGAAUAUUGCCAGCUGACUCAUUUACUAUCCCUAGCCUCUAGGAAAGGGACAGAAACAUAAACAGUCUGGAGCAUCUUCUACCUCCUCCAAAUAAUUUGAAGCAAUUAUAGCAAUCGUGAAAUGUGUCAGAUUGACAAGCUUUGGAGCGAUGCAGUUUAUUUAUUUACUCAGUGGAUAAUGCUCUGGAUAUGGUAGCAGAAGUAUCUUCCAGGGUCCUGUCAAAGUCAUAUGGUGCCGUUUCUUGGAUUUUUCAUGUGAAAAUACAUGCUUGUAAUUCUGGAAAGGACUUCAAGCACUUUUGCUCCAACCACGUUGGCCUCAGAGUUAGUUGAGAGAGUUAGAGUGUUAGUUGUCUUCUGUCUCUUAAAAAGGUUUUGAUUAACACCUCUCCGAAGGCCAUGAGUCCUCACAAAGUUGUUUACUUCAAAACAAUAAAUUUGAGAUAUUUUUUAAGAAAAUAUUUUAGGGGCGCCUGAGUGGCUCAGUUGGUUAAGUGCCCAGCUCUUGAUUUCAGCUUAGGUCAUGUUCUCACGUUUCCUGAGUUCAAGCCCUGCAUCAGGCUCUGUGCUGACAGAGUGGAGCCUGCCUGGGAUUCUCUCCCACUCUCUCUGCUCCUCCUCUGCACUCUCA